rnacentral:rRNA from 1 species
UACGGAGGGUGCAAGCGUUAUCCGGAUUCACUGGGUUUAAAGGGUGCGUAGGUGGGCAGUUAAGUCAGUGGUGAAAUCUCCGGGCUCAACCCGGAAACUGCCAUUGAUACUAUCUGUCUUGAAUAUCGUGGAGGUAAGCGGAAUAUGUCAUGUAGCAGUGAAAUGCUUAGAUAUGACAUAGAACACCAAUUGCGAAGGCAGCUUACUACCCGAAUAUUGACACUGAUGCACGAAAGCGUGGGGAUCAAACAGG